GCUCCAAGUACCCCUGACUGCAGCCCGCAGAUCGGGGCGUGCCUCAACGUGGGCGGAGUUAAACGUUGAGCUCCGCCCACCUUGAACUAAACGUGGGCGGAGUUAAACGUUUAACUCCGCCCGCAUAGCGCAGUUGAACCGUUGAAGAAGAAGAAGAAUGUAUUAGAGAAGAAGAAGAAGUUUCCAAAAUGGAGAGAAUAGAGCACGUGUUUGCUGCAAACAGCCACGUCAUUGCCACAUGGUUUCCACCAUCAUCCACAAACCCCAUGGAUCACCUGCUGGACAAUGCAGCCAGUCUCCAGUGGGUUCUGUUUCCAGUAUUUGUACCUGGACACUGGAUACUCUGUAAAUACAUUUAUAUCUUCCUCUAUUAUGACCUCACACAACAAAGUUGCUCAUUGCUGAUUUAAAUUUUUUGGUAUAUUAAAUGCAGCUUUGUUGGUAUUUCUGUAACAUUCCAUAACUUUAUGUGUUUGGUUAUAU